rnacentral:lncRNA from 1 species
CUCCCAGCAUUCAAAGCCACAGCCCUCCCUUGCCAAUCAAUGACUGGAGAGCCACUUGAACCUCCCUUAGUUCCAGAUGCUGCCUAAAAGUAAAGAUGGAAGAUAAUAGUGGCAAUGGUCAAGAGCGAGUAAUUACAUAAAAAGCAGGGAAGGAGGAUAGAACAGAUAUAAAACCAUAGAAACUUGUACAUAUGUCUUUAAGGUGAAGUCAGCCAGGUUUUUACGCAAAAAGUAAUGCACACACAAGUUUUUCCUAGUUGGAACUUGAACUUAGGAAAAUGUGAUUAAUUGUACAACCAAGUUAAAGCCAUAUUGG